GGGCAGGUAGCUCAGUGGGAGAGCGCACGGCUGAAGACCGUGAUGUCGGGGGUUCGAAUCCCCCCCUGCCCA
rnacentral:tRNA from 2 species